ACGAUGGGUGGCGAGUGGCGGACGGGUGAGGAAUACAUCGGGACCUACCUAGACGCGGGGGAUAACGUAUGGAAACUUACGCUAAUACCGCAUACGUCCUACGGGAGAAAGCGGGGGAUCUUCGGACCUCGCGCGGUUAGACGGACCGAUGUUCGAUUAGCUAGUUGGUGGGGUAACGGCUUACCAAGGCGACGAUCGAUAGCUGGUCUGAGAGGAUGAUCAGCCACACUGCGACUGAGACCCGGCCCAGACUCCUACGGGAGGCAGCAGUGGGG
rnacentral:rRNA from 1 species